GUUGACCUCGGAUCAGGUAGGGAUACCCGCUGAACUUAAGCAUAUCAAUAAGCGGAGGAAAAGAAACCAACAGGGAUUGCUCUAGUAACGGCGAGUGAAGCAGCAAUAGCUCAAAUUUGAAAUCUGGCGUCUUCGGCGUCCGAGUUGUAAUUUGUAGAGGAUGCUUCUGGGCAGCCACCGACCUAAGUUCCUUGGAACAGGACGUCAUAGAGGGUGAGAAUCCCGUAUGCGGUCGGAAAGGCACCCUACACGUAGCUCCUUCGACGAGUCGAGUUGUUUGGGAAUGCAGCUCUAAAUGGGAGGUAAAUUCUCU
rnacentral:rRNA from 1 species